rnacentral:rRNA from 1 species
AUUGAACGCUGGCGGCAGGCCUAAAACAUGCAAGUCGAGCGGAGCGGCGGACGGGUGAGUAAUGCCUAGGAAUCUGCCUGGUAGUGGGGGAUAACGUCCGGAAACGGGCGCUAAUACCGCAUACUAUCAGAUGAGCCUAGGUCGGAUUAGCUAGUUGGUGGGGUAAAGGCCUACCAAGGCUACGAUCCGUAACUGGUCUGAGAGGAUGAUCAGUCACACUGGAACGGAGACACGGUCCGUACUCCUCCGUGCUGGAGCAGUGGGGAAUAUUUGACAAGGGGCGCAAGCCUUAUCCAGCCAGGCCGCGUGUGUUGAGAAGUUCUUCGGAUUGUUAAGCACUUUAAGUUGGGAGGCGUUACCAACAGAAUAAUCACCGGCUAACUUCGUGCCAGCAGCCGCGGUAAUAC